AUUGAACGCUGGCGGCAGGCUUAACACAUGCAAGUCGAACGGUAACAUAAGAAAAGCUUGCUUUUUUUGAUGACGAGUGGCGGACGGGUGAGUAAUGCUUGGGAAUCUGCCUUAUGGAGGGGGAUAACUACGGGAAACUGUAGCUAAUACCGCAUAAUAUCUACGGAUUAAAGUGUGGGAUCUUCGGACCACAUGCCAUAAGAUGAGCCCAAGUGAGAUUAGGUAGUUGGUGAGGUAAAGGCUCACCAAGCUGACGAUCUCUAGCUGGUUUGAGAGGAUGACCAGCCACACUGGGACUGAGACACGGCCCAGACUCCUACGGGAGGCAGCAGUGGGGAAUAUUGCACAAUGGGCGCAAGCCUGAUGCAGCCAUGCCGCGUGAAUGAAGAAGGCUUUCGGGUUGUAAAGUUCUUUCAUUAGUGAGAAAGGUAUAAAUGUUAAUAGCAUUUGUAAUUGAUGUUAGCUAAAGAAGAAGCACCGGCUAACUCCGUGCCGGCAGCCGCGGUAAUACGGAGGGUGCGAGCGUUAAUCGGAAUAACUGGGCGUAAAGGGCAUGCAGGCGGUUACUUAAGUCAGAUGUGAAAGCCCCGAGCUUAACUUGGGAAUUGCAUUUGAAACUGGGUGACUAGAGUCCUCUAGGGAGGGGUAGAAUUCCACGUGUAGCGGUGAAAUGCGUAGAGAUGUGGAGGAAUACCGAAGGCGAAGGCAGCCCCUUGGAGAGAGACUGACGCUCAUAUGCGAAAGCGUGGGUAGCAAACAGG
rnacentral:rRNA from 1 species